rnacentral:rRNA from 1 species
ACGCCUGGAUAAUUUUGCAUGGAAUAAUGGAAUAGGACCUCGGUUCUAUUUUGUUGGUUUUCGGAGCCAGAGGUAAUGAUUAAUGGAGACAGGCGGGGGCAUUCGUACUGCGACGUUAGAGGUGAAAUUCUUGGAUCGUCGCAAGACGGACAGAAGCGAAAGCAUUUGCCAAAAAUGUUUUCAUUAAUCAAGAACGAAAGUUAGAGGUUCGAAGGCGAUCAGAUACCGCCCUAGUUCUAACCAUAAACGAUGCCAGCUAGCGAUCCGCCGAAGUUCCUCCGAUGACUCGGCGGGCAGCUUCCGGGAAACCAAAGCUUUUGGGUUCCGGGGGAAGUAUGGUUGCAAAGCUGAAACUUAAAGGAAUUGACGGAAGGGCACCACCAGGAGUGGAGCCUGCGGCUUAAUUUGACUCAACACGGGAAACCUCACCAGGCCCGGACACCGGAAGGAUUGACAGAUUGAUAGCUCUUUCUUGAUUCGGUGGGUGGUGGUGCAUGGCCGUUCUUAGUUGGUGGAGCGAUUUGUCUGGUUAAUUCCGAUAACGAACGAGACUCUAGCCUGCUAAAUAGGC